rnacentral:misc_RNA from 1 species
AAACAAAUCACUUGCAGAGACAUACAGACAGAUAGAUACUGAAGAAGAUGCUGAUAUAAAUUGUGUGUUACAAAGUCUCCUGAUGAUUCCUGUCAGAGGAGCUUGAAGCACAUGAAAGGGAAGAGCUGGAUUUAAUUGUCAAAAAGAAUGGUCAGACACAGGAACAAACUGUACAUGGAAACAGUGUUGUUAGUGGAGACUUUAUAACAGACAACUGUUACAGUCACCAGAUUUCUAGUGUAAUUGAAGGAGAUACUGAUCUAAGUGAUCAAGUUGAUAACCAACAGUAACCACACUUACUAUAUAAAAAAAGGCUCUGUAAAAAAACAACAUCAGAAGAUUUAAGAAAGACGACUUUCAGGAAACGAGAAAGCCGUGAGGAUUCUACAAUCUGUCUUAGAACAGAAAGAUGAUGACUUAAUAGUGAAUCCCCCAACCAUGAUGAGCAUUCAAGAGUUUUCAAGUUAUUGUCUCAACAACAGUGAAAUAAGAUCAGAUUUGAUAUACAAAUUGAGUGAUGAAAUGAGGAAGAUACCAGCAUCUAUGACAAACAGGGAAAAUGGUUUUGUGUCUGUCCUAAUGAAAAAAAGUCCUGAGGACAUUGAAAAUCUACAUCUUCUUGUAGAUGUCAUCCAAGAGUUUGUAAAUUUAUUUCCUGAACUGUUACAAAUUCUUUUGAAGAUAUUGCUUCCACCAAAGAAGACACUGGAAUGUUUUGCAGACAUCAUACCAAGGCUGUCUCUCAUUUAUUCAGUGAUAAUGCAGAACAGAGUGAGAGAGCUCCGCCAAUUACAAAGGAGUGUAGCAGUGAUGCUUGCAGACAAUAUUUGGGAUCAAGCAGUGUAUGACAGACUGAACAGAUUUGGUGUGUUCCCCAUACUGCGUCACCACUGAUGUUAUAACAUCUAUGGGAAAGUUGUACCCUCAGUUGAUUAUAAAUGCAGCCAAUGAAGGAAAACAUAUAAGGUUAAUUGGUGACAACCUAAAUAUAAGUAUUGGAACCAGCCAUGAAACAUCAACAAGCCAUAGACAUAUGGAACAUAUGUUCACAUCUACAUACCUUGUGAAUGAGUAUGAUUUUAUUGGCAAACCAGAAGUUCCUCAAAUUAAUUUAGAAGAUUUGUCUAUAGAAAAAAUCCUGUUGAGUAAAGAAGAAUACUAUCAAAUAAGAACAGAUAUCACAUACAUGGUCACCAAGACAAUAUCUAAAUAUCUUCCUCAUCUGAAUAUAUUACAAAAGUUCAUACCAGAUACUGUCAUCCCUCAAGGAGAAUUUAACAAAGCAAGCAAAACAGUAACAAUUCCUCUACCA